rnacentral:rRNA from 1 species
GACGAACGCUGGCGGCGGGCUUAACACAUGCAAGUCGAACGGAAAGGCCCUGCUUUUGUGGGGUGCUCGAGUGGCGAACGGGUGAGUAACACGUGAGUAACCUGCCCUUGACUUUGGGAUAACUUCAGGAAACUGGGGCUAAUACCGGAUAGGAGCUCCUGCUGCAUGGUGGGGGUUGGAAAUUUUCGGCGUUUGGGGAUGGAUGCGCGGCUGAUCGGCUUGUUGGUGGGGUAGUGGCUUACCAAGGCUUUGACGGGUAGCCGGCCUGAGAGGGUGACCGGCCACAUUGGGAGUGAGAUACGGCCCAGACUCAUACGGGAGGCAGCAGUGGGGAAUAUUGCACAAUGGGCGGAAGCCUGAUGCAGCAACGCCGCGUGCGGGAUGACGGCCUUCGGGUUGUAAACCGCUUUCGCCUGUGACGAAGCGUGAGUGACGGUAAUGGGUAAAGAAGCACCGGCUAACUACGU